UACGGAGGGUGCUAGCGUUGUUCGGAUUUACUGGGCGUAAAGGGCGGGUAGGCGGCCACCGCAAGUCAGUUGUGAAAUCUCUGGGCUUAACCCAGAAAGGUCAACUGAUACUGCGGGGGCUAGAGUGCAGAAGGGGCAACUGGAAUUCUCGGUGUAGCGGUGAAAUGCGUAGAUAUCGUGAGGAAGACCAGUGGCGAAGGCGGGUCUCUGGACAGUUCCUGACACUGAGGCACGAAGGCCAGGGGAGCAAACGGG
rnacentral:rRNA from 1 species